rnacentral:rRNA from 1 species
GAGUUGCGAACGGGUGAGUAACGCGUAGGUAACCUGCCUCUUAGCGGGGGAUAACUAUUGGAAACGAUAGCUAAUACCGCAUAACAGUAGAUAUCGCAUGAUAGCUACUUGAAAGGUGCAAAUGCACCACUACCAGAUGGACCUGCGUUGUAUUAGCUAGUUGGUGAGGUAACGGCUCACCAAGGCCACGAUACAUAGCCGACCUGAGAGGGUGAUCGGCCACACUGGGACUGAGACACGGUCCAAACUCC